rnacentral:rRNA from 1 species
UGUACACACCGCCCGUCGCUCCUACCGAUUGGGUGUGCUGGUGAAGUGUUUGGAUUGGUAUCAUUGGGGGGCAACCYCCGUUGGUACUGAGAAGAACAUU